GCCUCUUUCUCAUUUUGAUAUGUAAGAAUCCUAAAUUCUAACCUAGACAAAUUCAAAUCUAUUAUAUGUCACUGCCAACUAUUAAUAGCUGUAAUAACAGACGGUUUUGGUGUCAAAUAACAAAAUGGACAGAGUGGAAACAAUGUUUAAGCCCCGAUUUGUUCAGUUACAAAAGAGCCUACAGACUCGGGUCUCAUUAAGGAUUUGUGUGUAUGCAUGUGCGUGCCUGUGUGUGUGUGUGUGUGUGUGUGUGUGUGUGUUCCCAUGUGCUCGAGGUCUCUUUUGACAGUUGAUAGAGCACCCAUCCUGAAAUUCAGUCUUUCUUUGAUUUGAAUUACAUUGACAGCAUAAACCCUAAUCUAAAGGAAUCUGCCUCUCUAAUCCAAAACCGAGUUUUCAAUUUAUAAGAACCUUUAGUAGUAUUCAGUACGUUAGCCUAUGAUAAGCAAAUACUAGGACCUGUUUUAAUUUUUGAAUGACUAACUCCUUCCUCCAAUGUAUGAGGGACUAAAUUGGACUUGGAGAGAAAAGUUGAUUACCCAGAUACCUUUUUAAAGCUUUUUUUCUUUCCUUUGUUUCCUUUUUUAGAGACAGGGUCUCACUAUGUUGCCCAGGCUGGACUCAAACUCCUUGGCUCACAAGAUCUUCCUGCCUCAGCCUCCUGAGUAGCUGGGACUACUGUCUCAUACCAGCAAGCCCAGAACCCACAUAUAUUUUUAUAUACUUACCACAAUUACAUAUAUCUACAUUUUCAUAUAAAUUGAAGUUUCAUAAUGAAGGAGCAUAAAAUUGGAAACGAAGUAUCCGUCUUCAUCCCCUGUUCACUUAAAAUGAAGUUAUUCCCACGUAAGUGUGUAAAGCCCUUUCCAUCAUUCCACUUCUACCAUUAUUGGCGACUCUGUCCUAUAGACCUAAGCACAUUAUAUUUUAAACUGAGUACAAACAUUUCUUCAUUUUUGGCAAUAAGCUGGUCAAACUUUCUGUUUUUUUAAAAUCUUAGACAUUUGGGAGAAAAGUGUAGGAUAAUUUCUCUGUAUUUCAAAGAACCGUGUUUUGAACUCCAAGCCACAGAAGUUUCUAGAAGAAAAACAAAAAACUUUCAUUGCAUUUCACAGCAGCCCUAAUCCACUUUAAUAACACAGUGAGAGAUUGCCUCAUGCUUUGCUUUAUAAAAUAUGAAAACUAUCUGCAGCUGUGAAGGAAUGACCCUCAUAAUUCAUCUGAGAGCCUGCCCCUCUUCCUUGUGGGAUAUACUCCAUAUCUCAUAUCAACUCAUUGCUCUGAGUGUCCUCCACAGAUGCAGAAAGAUCCUAUGAUAGAUGCUGUGAUUUCCGCAGCGGGGGUGGUUAGCCUGUGACAUGUGAGUGAUGAGGCACAAGUGAGUUACGAAGACAGUACAUCUCUCCACACCAGAUAAUAUACUGUCCUUUAUUCUGCAGCUAUGUUUAUAUGAACAUUACAGCUAAGAAAAGAGAUGAGGGAAGUAGAAUUCUUAUGGUUUUGAUUCAUUUAUUUAUAAGGCCUUGCCUCUGAUAUAGUCAGCACUCUUUGGGAAUUUUUUAAGGAGCAACAAUGGUCAUCACUUUCUUCUUUCAAGAUUUUCUUCAAUUAUGUAACAGUAACUGAAAAUAGCAUGAGAUUUUGGAGAUUACAAAAGGGCAGUGUAUACUUGGACACAUUAUUGUACUGUUUUCAUAAAUAUCAUUCUUCUAGUCCCUGUAAGCCCAGACCUCAGUAAGGCUACAGGUUUCCGCUCACAGGGCUGUUCUUUCUAUUGCUGUUGGAAAUUACACAAAAACCUUCUUUGCCUGCUCUUCCUUUUCUUUCUUAGACUCUAAAGUUUCUCCUGAGACUGAUUGCCUCCUAGAUAUAUGUUCGUGUUUCUCAGAUAGCUCUUCUCUUCUUCCCCUUCUUGGAUUUUUACAGUAUUCAUAGAGCUGAGCUUAAGCAUCAUACUGUACCAAUAGAUGCUGAUAACGUAGGAUGCUUUUCUGGCUGGACAUAUCAGAUAUUGUCAAACUCCAGCUUUCAGUUGGACCACUUCUUAUUUCUGCACUGUGUGACUUUGACAGAUCAGCGAACAUCUCACAGGUUACAGUAAGAUUUGCACAAAACUCAGAAAUGUGUCAUGAGGAACAAAUGACAUCUGCAUGAAGGUGUUUUGCAAAACAGACAGUGCUGUGUAGCUGUAGGAUGCAUGCAUCCAAUUUACUCAGAGGAAAUGGCAUCAUCAGUGCACACUAUUGUAGCCACCAUUGUAUUGACUCACUACUAUUUGCUUGGCACCGUUCCAGGCACUUCACACUCCUUUUCUUGUGCAUUUUGUUUGGGCCUGCAAAGGAGGCAUUGUUAUCAUAAUUUUACAGCGGAGGUGACUUGCCAGCGUCACAGUCAUUAAGUAGCAGAGCUGGGAUUCAAACCAGAGUGUGUCUGAGGCCCAGGCCUUCCUCAUGGUUUCUUUCAGCAUCCUAAGUUAGGUUGAAGAGAGUGAGGAGGAAGAGAAGACAAAGAAACCCCCAGCACAGCCAUCCUCAGUGGGAUGCAUCUGGAACUGAAUAUGAUUUGUUUGACUGUCUGGAAGCUGACACGCUCCAGAUUAAUCACACUUUCAGGCUUAGAUGGCUUCACUCCAAAAGAAUAUUGAUAUUUUAACACCAGGGAGGGGCUAUUUUAGCAUAUUCUGUGUAAGAAAUAAGUGACUAUGCCUUAUAAACAUUUCACUUAUUUAAUUUAUUUAAUUUUAGUUUGUUUAUAUAUCCUAUGAAGACAUGAAUAGCUCAUUAUUUUACAUAUAUCAAAAAUAUCUGGGACUGCCUGAAAAUGGAAAUUAAAUAACACUUUUCAUAAACUCACAGUCAGAGCUCCAUGCUGCAAUGGCAAAUGCCUCUUCAAUUAUUACCUUGGCAGUUUUCUUUCUUAUUGGAUCAUCAUUUUAAAAUACCUUUUCAGAACAGUUGACUGGAUGCUUUUGGUAUGCAGACUCCUGAUUAAGUGAUCUUCUAUCCUCAUUAAGAAGACCCUUUUGGAUGUUUCUGACUAAUCUUCUGCCAUCUCACUUUCACUUUCCUGGUAUAAAUUUUUGGUUUACUACUCAGUGGUUGGCUCUCAAAACAGGAAAGCAAGUUUGACUUCAUAAAACCAACAGCUAACACUUGCACAGUGGUUUACCACUUACAAAGCAAGUACUGUUCACUCUCAUUGUCUCACUCCCCACACCGUGGGGUCAUGGCAGGGACUCCAAAUCACCAAGGAGGAAACGGCCAUCCCAGAGGCGCUCUGCAGCAGCCGCGUUGAUGGUGUCUGUGGCUUCACCCUAUGUGUGCUCCACGGUCAGAUUCUCCGCUGCCACAACAAGAUUCGAUAGUUCCUUGUGUCCCACACAGCUUUACGUACAGUGCCUUACGCGUGGUCUUCAGUAAACACAUGCAAAAUUGAAGCAUCAGUGAGUGAAAGAUCACUGGAAAUUGUGGCUUUCUCUCUGAAAAUCCAAAUUUCCUAACCUAGGGUCUAAAACUGUCUGUGAAUUUCCUCAAGUCGUAGGUAAAAAUGUGUUCGUGUGUUGGCUCACACAUGUGUGCAGUUCUCAGGGAAGAAGAUAUCCUCAUUUUUCAUCAGAUUCUCAAAGGAGUCCAUGACUCAAGUAAAGUUAAUAAUAAGUGCUUUUAAAAAUUAAACAGAGAACCCCAAAAUGUUGUAAGAUUUUAGUUAGCAUUCAUAACAAAAGAUAUCAAUCAUUAGAAAGUUACAUUUAGGCUGGGUGCGGUGGCUCACACCUGUAAUCCCAGCACUCGGGGAGGCCGAGGCGGGUGGUCACUUAGAGUCAGGAGUUUGGGACCAGCCUGGCCAAUAUGGCAAAACCCCAUCUCCUCUAAAAAUACAAAAAUUAGCCAGGCCUGGUGGUCCACGCCCAUAAUCCCAGCUACUUGGAAGGCUGAGGCACGAGAAUCACUUGAACCUGGGAGGUGGAGGUUGCAGUGAGCAGAGAUCACGCAUUUUUUGGUUGUGGAGAUCACGCCACUGCACUCCAGCCUGGGUGACAGUGCAAGACUCCGUCUCAAAAAAAAAAAUAAAAAAUAAAAAACAUUUAAACUCUGUGUUACCUAAAGGAUAUCAAAAUUUUGUGUCUGUGCUAAUUGAUGUUGGUUUGUUAGAGCUUUAAACUAUUGAGGUCGAAGCUUGGGCUUCAGUCUUCCUCCUGGCCAAUUAAUAGCCUCGUUAAGUGGCUGAGGAUUUCACUGAGUCCUGCCAGUCCCCUUGAAAAUGCCCAUGAGGGGUUAGCAAAAGGGAAGGCAGGGAAUUACAGAAUGCCAAUCAAUUCCAUCCCUGUGCUUCCUGGGUUGUUUGUGUUUUCAUAGCUUCAGUGUGAAUAUAACUUGGAUUUUAGCUGAGAAGUAGCUUGACACAGGUUAAAGUGUCAUUUUCUUUAUUUCCUCCAGCUUUGAGAGAAUUUGUUACCCCAGUAUUGGACAUUCCAGAAUUCUGUUUACUCACAAGUUAGACUGCAUACCUUCUGUUACACUGGUUGCUUCUGGGAGAAGGAUCCGCUUCCUCUUUAUCUCCGUAAACCCAGUUCUAUUAGUGUCAGUUAUUGUCGUGAAGCUUGAGUGAAAGUCGAUCACACAGAAUCACCAAGUCAAAAUAAAGGACUUUUCUAGGAACGAAUUACAUCAGUAGAUAACCUAACUUAAAUUAUAAUAUACUAGUGAAUAAUUUUUUAUCACUGAGUACUUUUCUCUCUGUAGAAUAUAGUAUAAUCAGACAGAGUAAGCUGUUAUUUCCUCUCCUGGGCAUAUUAUUCUGUAUCUUUUAUCUCUUACAAUAUUGAAGGAAUAUUAAAAGGAACUCAAAAUGAAUAAGCACACAAAAAAUGAGAAAUAUAAGCAUAACUCUUUUAGUCUGUAAAAUGUCAGUAGUUAAAUAGGAGUUGUGAAGUGCCAGUUUUUACAAAUUAUGAAUAUUCAAAAGAUACAAAAACAUGUUUAAAUCAAAGCAAAAUAUAUAGAUUGAGUAUUCCUUAUCUGAAAUGCUUGGGAACAGAAAUGUUUUGGGUUUUGGAGUAUCUGCAUUAUACUUACUGGUCGAACAUCCCAAAUCCAAAAACAGAAAUGCUCCAAUGAGCAUGUCCUUUGGACGUUAAGUCAGCACUCAAAAAGUUCAGAUUUUGGAACAUUUCAGAUUUCAGAUUUUUGGAUUGGGGUACUCAACCUGUAUAUUAUGUGACAGUGACUAACAAGAAACAUUUAUUCAUGAAGGAAUGAGUAAACGUAGUACCUCCUUGGUUGAAGCAGGAGUUCUAAGGUAUGUACCCAAGUUUGAAUUCUUCAGUAUCUUAUCUGUCAUAUAUUGGUAGUAGCUGGCAAUAUUGAUCCCUUUUUUGGAGCUGUUCUUCCAAUUAAAUUUUUAGAAGCAAAUGCUGAAAUCAUCAUCCUUGCACUUUUUGAACAUAUCCUAUUGAUUAUACUGUCGUUCUAAAUAUUUACAAUGUAUUCUUUCAAAUAUUUGUGGAUAUAAUAGAAAGCAUGUCUCUAUGACAUUGUAUGCUUUACUGAAGUGACAUUAGAUAUUCCCCUGUUUACACACAUUCAUAUGGUUAAUGACUCAUGUUACCUAUUAAGGUUUCCUGUUUCCUGAUUUAAAAGAUAUUUAAAGGCCUCAGUACUGAAAUGUUUAUUUUUACCUCUGGAUCUUCUGCUUCAUAUAGUAACAUAUACAGGCUAAAUACCUAUUUUAACACCACCAGACCCACUUUUUACCUUUAUUAUGAAACUAGGGUUUGGUCAGCUGAGGGCAAGCUGUAUGCAUAACAUAGCUGGCAGUAUAGUCGGUGAACUGUCACCGAGAAGAGAGUCAAAAUGUAAACACUGAGCAAUUCUACAGCAGCUUAGAGCCGGGAUUAACUGGGAUCACCUAGUAUUCUGUUUUUAAUGAAACUCUCUCCCUUGUAUUUUCAUGUUUGGGAGAGAGUCCAAAGUUAUCUCAUGCUAAUUUAGUUAGGCAGUGCCCUCCGGGGAUGUCACAGGCUUCCCUGACCUCUCCAGAGAGAGAUUCAGUGAAGGGAUGAGGAGAAUUAAACAUUCCUGAGAAAUUGGAAAGCAACAACCCCCAGAGAAUUUGCAGAGAAACUCGCUCCAGACUCGGCUGCCAGAGACUCAAGUCACCUUUUCAGCACUUGCUUAACAUCUCUCUCAGUCCCAUCUGGCUUGACUCAGAGGUCAGUCUGGGAGACUCGGGAGUGGUGGCAGCUCAGAGAAGAAUUCAAGGGAGGGCCACCAAUAGCACAUUCUGCUCUUGUUGCUUGUUUUUAUCUGAAGUACAUUUGAAAAGAUGGACAGGGCAUAAGGUUGAAGUAAUAACUUGACUUUGCUUGGCCAUCUUUUUUUCCUUUUAACCCAAAAUUUACUUUAAGGUGAACUGGUAUUUUUAUUUCCCAAAUAAUAAGUUCCUUGAUUCUUGAUGACUGAAACUUAAGAGUUGUUGUCGUUUCUGUUAUACAGGACCUCUGUGACUAAUUAUUUUGUAAUUAGCCAUUUUACAAAGGAUAUUUUCUUUUAUGCGUUUAAUGAAAUUUGGGGGGGUGGUGGGUGGAAAAUAUGUUUCCGGUUUUAAAAUCAUAUUCCCUUUGUGGUUUACAUUUCGUAUAUGAAGAAUUUCAGAAAACUAGGAAAACAAAAGUAUUAUUAAAUAUUGAAUCUGUAUUAUAAACAAAUCUAAGGAGCUACAUUUUAUAGUUUGUUCAUUUCAUUUUCUACUGAACAGAAUAAAGUUCAGUGUGCCCUACAGCUGUGGUGUGAGAGGAAGGUUUGGGGAUCCCUGC
rnacentral:lncRNA from 1 species